CAUGUCCUCUUCCUCCCUCCACACACACAGGCUCACUGCCUCACCAACACAAACAGCACUGACCUGCUUACCACACCAGGCAGAAGGAGACACACCGUCUUGGCACAUCUUUCAGGGUGCCUUCAGAGGAUUUUGAGGCACCGAACUAACACAGGAUUGCAAGCUUUUGGGGACAGUAAUGUGACUUUCUAUGGACUUGCAUAAAUCCUAGCAUGCGGUGGCACUACUUGGACACAACAACAACAAGUACAGCAAGAUCUUCAUUUCCAGCAGCUCAACUAAUGGGCCUAGCUACUGUAGUAGCUGGUGGAAGGAAGAAAUUAAAAAUUCACACUAAGGCAUUUUCAAAAUGAUAAAAAUCACAUAAAAAUCAGAGCUGCAAUAGAGAUUCUAGUAUAGACGUAAAAAAUCUUUAGUCCUCACAAGUCAUGACCAGAUUUUACCUUUGCUUUAUUCCCUGCACUGAAUGCUACCUUUCAAUCAGACACCAUCAAACCACCCUGUUUCUGGCCCUGUCAUUUGUUAUGAAGGACUCUGAACUACAAAGGUCUAUUGUCCUGAGCUAUGAUUUUUUUUUCUUGUUACAGUCAGUGGAUAUCAAAUAAAUUCAGAGGCACAUUAUAGCAAGUUGAGAUCUCUUUACAAUUAAUAGCUAUAAACAUACCUAUCUCCAAAACAAAGACUGAUAUUGACUGAAAAAUCUGUCAUUAAUGAUCUGAACAGCACAUCCAGGAAUCUGGGCAUGCUAGCUCGACUAAGGAAUGCAGAUGCACAAGACAUUGCCCCACUGCUCCCCCUGCCUCCUUUGUGCUAGAAAGCCAGAAGGGGACUGAGAUGGAGGAGAAUUCAGUGCCUGAGAAGCUGGAAUUUGUUUUCUUUAGGUUGGUUCAGCUCACCUACUGGGAUUUGAUAUCUAGUCUGGGCAGUUGAUAGUUGUUCCUUAAUGACUGUGGUGAUCACAUGUAAAAAAAACUUAAGGAUGCAGGUGACAUUCUGGACCCUCCUUAAGAAUGUCUCCAUAGAAGAAGGGAAUAUUUACAUUUCUCAAAUGAAAGCAUAUGUUAAUCUAAACUAUUCUCUUAAUUCCAGUUUCCAAAAUCCCAAUCUGUUCCCUACUAGAUGGGAAUCCUAUUUGCAAGCACUGCCAAAGGAUGCUAUGCAGCACCACAGAAAAAGGAGCAUGUUUCCAGAGUACAAUGCCUUCAGCAGUCUGUAGGAAAUGGCUGAAGACAAAAUCCAGGCACUACAUAGAGUACGAAAUUUGGCAGGAGAAAAAUGGUUAGGUAUAUUGUCAUACCAAUGUUGAAAGAAUGUACUACAGAAUACUCAACUUUGUUGCGGUUCAGAAUUUCAGGUUAAAGAAAAGAGCAAGUUAUAAAAUAUGUUUUUGUUUAUUUGGAAACCUUCAUUUUUUUAAAUGUAAACAUCACCAUGGUAUUUUGUGAAUACAAACAGAACCAUGCUAGCACAUGAGAAGCAGGAGGUGAAACUCAUUAUAAAAGGCAAGUCAGUCUGUUUUAUUUGUCCAAGCUAAGUAAAAUGCUGGAAAAAAAAGUGAAAAAAUAAGCAUGAAUAAUGAAAAAUAAAUUACAUAAUAAUACAUUAUUAAAAUGGUAAAAAUUUGUAUUACAAGCAAGGAUUACAAAUACGUAUUUUCAGUAGUGCCCAUUUAAUGUCUUUCAAAAGCGAAAUUAAAGCCUGGAUUUAGAACCAGGAUAUUUAUC